rnacentral:rRNA from 1 species
UACGGAAGGCAGCAGUGGGGAAUAUUGGACAAUGGGCGAAAGCCUGAUCCAGCCAUGCCGCAUGAGUGAAGAAGGCCUUCGGGUUGUAAAGCUCUUUUAGUGAGAAAGAUAAUGACGGUACUCACAGAAGAAGUCCUGGCUAACUCCGUGCCAGCAGCCGCGGUAAUACGGAGAGGGCUAGCGUUAUUCGGAAUUAUUGGACGUAAAGAGCGCGUAGGCUGAUUAGUAAGUUAAAAGUGAAAUCCCAAAGCUUAACUUUGGAAUUGCUUUUUAAAACUGCUAGUCUAGAGAUUGAAAGAGGAUAGAGGAAUUCCUAGUGUAGAGGUGAAAUUCGUAAAUAUUAGGAGGAACACCGGUGGCGAAGGCGUCUAUCUGGUUCAAAUCUGACGCUGAGGCGCGAAGGCGUGGGGAGCAAACAGGGAUUAGAUACC